UCGCCUCAUGUUCGCCUCUUUCACUUUUUCUAAGGUUCUCUAUUGCCCGCUUCUUCUUGUUCACUUCUUCUUGUUGUUCUCCUCCUCCAAUCGUUGCAGCCCGCGUUAGAAAUGGCACCACACACCAGAACACAUGUUAGAAAUACAGGAUAUAGAGAACAAACUGAAGUUGAAAUAGAUGUUCCAACAAAUACCAUCGAAAAUUAUGUUGCAGUAGGUACAAGCAAUGAGGACCAAAAACAAAAACGAGGUCCAACACAUAUGUGUAGUAUUUGGGGAUAUCAUGAUACCCGACAUGGAACUAUUGCUCGGAAUGGGAAAUCUGCACCUAUUGAUAUAAGAAGUUGGGAUCAAAUGCCAAAGUCUUUAAAAAAAUAUGUUAGAAGUUGUUCAGGAGAAAUUUGAGAUUACUCGUGCUAGUGAUGUAUGGGUUCUUCAAUCAAUUGGGAAGAAAUGGAGGAAUUGGAAAGCAGACUUUAAAUCUUGAUAUUAUGAUCCAAAUAUGCCUACAUAAUUACAACUAUGUAAUGUGCCAAGAAGGAUACUCAAAGAUCAAUGGAAAAAUCUUCUUUCAUAUUGGAAUUCAGAAGAAUCAAAGACACAAAUGUGAGUGGAGAUGUCUUUUGAGGAUCAAGCAGUGAGAGGAAUUUGGAGGAAGCUUAAAGUGGAGAUCUCUGAUGGCUGUGCAUUUAAACUAUUUUAAGUUUCUCUCCAUGGUUGCCUUUAUUUACGAAGCCUGAGGUUCUUCUGUUGCAAAGGAUCGGUUUAAUGUCUUUAACUCGACAAUGAUGAAAGUUGUUAUUAUUGAUCCAUUCCCUAUGACGACCAUUUCUGCAACCAGCUUUUAUGGAAGGUAGUUUUUCUGCAACCUGACUUCUAGGAAGGCAGUUUUGGCAACUUUGGGAAAUUUUAUCUGAUGUGCAAUUUGGUUUGGUAUUUAGUUUGCAUCUUUUGCAUUUUGAAUCCAGCUUAGUUGGUUUUUGUUAUUACUUUUUUCACCUAUGAUUGUGCAGUAGCACUUGUGCCGAGUUAAGUUUUAUUAAACUGUUUAGUUGUUGGGAGAUAUGGUGAUUGAUUCCUUAGAAUGCAGACCAUGCUUUAAUUUUUUUUUUUUUUUUUUGAAACAGUGGAAAAUAUACAAUCUUAAUGCACAAGUGAUUUAUUGCAUGGAUGUUAUUUGUAACCUAAUUUACUUGGGAAGAAAAGCUUCCAUGGCUAAAAUGUUCACACACAAUAUUGAGACAUAUAAAGAACCAAACUGUUUACUGAGAACAUUUUAUUAAGUAAAAGCCUUCAAAUUCUUGCUAGUAGUUGAUAGAUUAUCACUAAAACACCAAAUAGGCAGAAAUCCCUAGGCCCAAAUUGAUUUAUGAUUUCACUAACAAGUAACAAUUUAUAUUGACUGUCUUUGUUUAUUGAGAUUUAUGGAUUUAGGUAAACCUUACAGAAUAUGCUGAGAAACACAAAGCAAACAUGUUUUACUUAUGGACAAACAGGUAAGUACUUAUGUUUGUGCAACACUUUGUUUAGGGUUUUAUAUUUAAGACUUCUUUAUAUUUUUAUUGAACCAAAAAAAUAUUUUAGUUGACUAUAAAAUUGUUGUACUUCUUUUUAUUAUUUUUCAAAUUUUAUUCUACUACUCCCUUAAUUGUUCCUUCUCAAGCAAUUCUUUAGCGGCCUCUGUAAUUCAGUCCAAGAAAAGUUCUGAUGUUGUUUAAACAUGGAUAUUCCAGCAUUUAUGUUCAGAGAACUGGAUAGAAACGUGAUGGUUGUGGAAUAUUUUUCAAGCAUAAAAGAAUGUGCCACUUGCUUUACUAGUUCAGUUUAUGAGGGAGCAUCGGUCCGAGUGGGCUGAUUCAGGUGUUGAUGCUUAUUCAGCUGCUUCACUGGGAACAAGUCCUAAUUAUGUCGUUCCUGGUUUGAGGGUCAUUAAUGGUUUUUUGGGCAGCCAUAUCAUUAUUCCUCUUACUCAUACUGUGGAAAAUGAAGAGGUCUUGGAAGUUCUAACCAUUACAUUCCAAAUUACAUUUGAGAAUAGUGCCACAGUAUAUGAUUCCAUCAGAAUAUUGCCACAGUAUAAUAUCCAAGCAAUUGAAGAUCAGUUUUGACCAUUGCAUUCCAAUUUAAAUUUGAGAACCAUCUCCGUGAAAUGUCACAGCAACGGCUCGACAAUAUUUUUGAAGUGUUGUGGCCUCAGUCCAACGGGUAGCAAUGGCAAUUUCUCCCUCUAGACUUUGCAACCAAUUAAGAAUGAAGCAUACUCCUGGUUCACCUGAGGAUUACACCCUGUUGUUGUGGAUUUCUCGAAGUUACUGGUAUGUAUCAUGAGCUCCACAUAAUGAAAUAGAAUUACUCAAAAUAGCAUUAUAUUUUGUUAAAACAAAACAUUUAUGUAAAAAAAAUUUAUUUAACACAAAUCAUUAAUUUUUUUUGUUGUGCGUCUUUAUUCCCUGAUUUAUGCUUGAAUACAGAAGUAUUUUAUUUAUGCUUGAAUACAGAAGCACCAAUUUGGAUUUUGUGUCAUUCUUUAUAAAGUAUGCUGUCUACUUCUCUUAUUUAUUUCUUAAUUAUUUUUAUUCCAUGAAUGAUAUUUUAUUACAAGUUUCAUACUGGAGUUGAACUCAUUAGAACCGAUACUCAUGCUGGUGAAACUCUGAAAUUCCUAUGUCACUAUCAUGAUGUAAUCAUGUGUUGUUCUCUCAAGGUAAGCUUUUUUGUUUGUUUUUUUCUUGUUCUUGAACUCAACUUUCUAACCAAGGUACCAUAUAAACUCUAAGCAUGCUUCUCCCUUGUUCACCUUCGCUAACCAAGUUGGACUUGACCUGCUUGAAACAACUCUCGUUGGCCUCCAAGACAUUUCGCUGAAGAAGAUACUUGAUGACACCAGUUGAAAAGUUCUAUGCUCUUGGUUCCCUAAGAUAAUGCAACAGGGCUUUGCCUAUCUCCCAAAUUGCAUCUACAUGUAGAGCAUGGGGUGCCUGGUGUCCUACGAGCAGGCCAUCGCUUGGAAGGUCCUACACGAAGAUCUCUUUCUAAGAUUAAUGAGCUGAAUAUAAACUAAGAUUGGCACUUGUUUUCAAUUUUGGUUUUUUUAUCUUAAUUAACAUGAAGAACCAAGCGAUGUGUUUGGUGACGAUUGUAAUAUAUUGAUUAUGUACAUAUAUGAAGAUUGAAGUAGAAUUUAUGUUGUAUUUAAGGUGGGA